CUUGGGGGGAGGAGGGGGGGCAGGGAGGAGAAAGGAGGGGUGUGAUUCUAGGAUGGGGUGGGUGAAAGCUUAAAGUAAUAUUAUGUGAAGUAAUCCAGUGCUUGACAAGGGCAUCAGCAGCAAGAAUCCAGCCUCUGCUGCUCCAGAGGAUUAACAUGGGGAAGCCACAGUGCUGCAGUCGGGUUUCACCUCAGCGUUGUGCUGGAGAUGGAGAAAUAAGGAAGGAUCCGGUCUACUGUUGGCUUUCUGCUUGCCCUCUGCCUUGCUGAAGUCCAUCCUUCUUGGUACUUCUCACACCAGUCCUCUCCAGCUGCACGAGGCAGCUGCUUUGUAAUCACAUCAUCUACCUCCUUGAAUUGUGAAGAUACAUCAUCUUUUGUAGUGCUGCUCUGUGGAUGAAUCCUUAUCCUGUCCUAAUGGGGAUAUUAAAGAUGAGGUGGUGGUUGUGGGAAGCAGCUGCGUUGAUUUUUUCCAUCUUUCUUUCGUGGAAACCAUAUGAUCUGGGGCGUUGCGUAAGACUGUGUUUAUACAUCACCUCUUCUAUGCAACACCACAUUCAGCUCCAACUUUAUGGGAAGGACAGCACGUUCUAUAUACCACAAGAGGCAUAACAUGGAUUCAGCAGCAGGACACCAUGAAGCAGCUUGGACUUCAGUUGGGUGCUCCAAAAUCAGCAACACUGUAAGGGUGGGACUUUGGCUCCAAAACUUCUCUGCCUUCCCUCUGAGGGUACUGUGGUGCUGGCCACAGGGGCAAGGUUUGGAAGAGUCUCUCUUUUUUUACCCAUGAUGUUACUGGAUCAGAUAUCUGUUAAAUGUCACUUGAAAGUCUGUGUUACUUGACUGACGUGUGGCUAUCUCUGGAAUUCAAAAAAAUACUGUUUUUCAAAAAUUGUCACAAAGAACCCUCUUGUGUUCAUCAUGCUACUUGUUCAGUUGCUACUUAUGUUUUCAUCUUGAACUGUGUAUUGAUAUACUUUGUACAACAUUGCAUUUCUCAAAAGCUUUUGCAUAGCACAUUGUCAUACUUACUGUUUUUUUGGUCCUUUUUUUCCACUGCGAAAUAUUUCUUGAACUGUUGGAGAUCCCUGAUCAAGGAAUAUUUUCUCAUUAAAGAGAGUAUGGCGAAAUGACAUGCUUCUUAUCUACUAAAAUGGCAAUUUCACUGAAAAAUUUAAUUUUCUUUCUGAAAAUUGUGAUUCCAGAAUUGGUUUCAAUCAAUACAUGGGAGGAAAUCCUGAAGCAUUUGAUUGGUUUGAUUUAGAAUGUUUCUGUAUUUGUGAGGAGAGAAAAGUUGAAAACAAAUGAAAGAGACUUUUCUUUGCUAAAUGUCAGCUUUCCUACUACAUGUUCAUGCACGUAAAAAAAUGCAUUGCAUGUUUGGGGUUUUUUUUAACUGUAAGGAAGUGGGAAAUGUAAAAAAUAGUUUCUUAAGAUGUUUCUAAGUUUAUGAUAUUUUCGGGAAUAUCUACCUGCUUGUAACUAGCUCUAGGAAAGAUGUGCAUGUUUAUUAUAUUCUUUUUAUGCCUUAAUAUGUUCAAUUGAAAUGUGAUAUACUUUGUAUUUCACCAAAAAAAAACCACCAACAAAAAAAGUCUUAGCUUACUGAUUUUGGAUAUGGAUUAAUAUAAAAUAAGUUUCUGCUUUCAAGACAACCUUAUGAGUGCUGCCUCUUUACACUGUAUACACUUACUAUGUUGAAGACUAAGUUUAAAUAUAGUUUGCCCUGGCUACAAUCAAAUAUGUCUAAAAGAAGUCUUGCUCAUUGGUUUUAAGGUUAGAACUCAAUCAAAACCAUCUUUCAUCUGUGAAACAAGAAAAAACGCUUUUCAUUUUCUCAUUUGCUAGAGGGAAGGGAUGCCAUCCAGAGGGACCUUGACAGGCUUGAGAAGUCUGUCUUCCUCAGGAGGUUCAACAAGGCCAAGUGUAAGGUCCUGCACCUGGUUCAGGGCAAUCCCAGGGGCAGGACGUGCAGAGGGCAGGUCCUGAGGGCAAUCCUGAGGGCAGCCCUGCAGAGAAGGAUUUGAGGAUACUGAUGGUUGAAAAUUUGGACAUGAGCCAUCAAUGUACACUGGGAGCCCAGAAAGUCAGUCACACUGACCACAAACACUGUAGAUGUGUGUGUCCUGGGCUGCAUAAGAAGAAGCGCGGCCAGCAGGUUGAGGGACAUGAUUCUCCCCCUCUACUCUGCUCUUGUGAGAUGCUACCUGGAAUUCUGUGUCCAGUUCUGGUGUGCCCAGAACAAGAAAGACAUGGACCUGUUGGAGCAAGUCCGGAGAAGAGCCACAAAAAUGACUGGAGGGCUGGAACACCUCUGCUAUGAAGAAGGGGAGAGUUGGGGUUGUUCAUCCUGGAGAAAAGAAGGCUCUGGGAGACCUUAUUGUGGCUUUUCAGUAUAUAAAGGAAGAGUCUUGUCCUGUAGUGACAAGGAGCAACUGAAAGAGGGUAGAUUUAGAUUGGUUAAAAGGAAGACAUUUCUUAGAAUGAGGGUGGUGUGAUACUAGAACAGAAUGCCCAGAGAAGUUGUGGGUGCCGCAUCAUCACAAGCAUUCAAGGUCAGGUUUGACAGGGCUUUAAACAACUUAAUCUAGUUAAUGAUGUCUCAGCCCAUAGCCGGGGGAUUGGACUAGAUGAUCGUUAAAGGUCCCUUCUACCCCAAACCAUUCUACGAUUCAGUGCAUUCUUUGGAGGAGAGCAUAUGGUGUUUCUUGACCAUCUCUAAAAUGUGUUGUGCAUGUUCAAGACUGUAGCACUAUCAUUCUACAGCUUCACUCUGCUGUUUUGUCCCUAGUCAGAUUUAUGCCAUGACAAUGGAUAUAUAAUAUUACCCUUAAUUUAGGUCAAGACAGAAUUCAUAAUGCCUUUGAUAAAGACGCUAUACCAGGUAUGUCAUGCUUUGACACUAAGGUGAUGUGCAUGAUAUAAAUAAUUACACAGGUACCUUUUCCCUCUCAGAGCAGUAGCGAACCUUUUCUUUUUUUCUUUUGUGAGCCACGUGGUGCACAAGGAGGGCUGUCUAGGGGACAGAAAGUGUCUUUUGCAGAACAAUGCUACUAUCUACCACUGUAUUAAAACCUUCAAGAUUUGUUUUUUCAUGAGUCUCUUUAUGUUUUGUAUUCACCUAAACCUUACUUUCACUUAGAGGGAGUCUCGAGUGAAAAUAAAAAUAAAUGGGUAUCCUAAACUUCUUGCAAACCAUUUCUGAUGCUUUUGCUUUACGUUUUUCAUGGUGCCAUCCAUCAAAAGCUAAUCUCUCAAUAAACUCAGGCUGUGCAUUGCACUUUCUUCCUUCACAUGGCCCUUAAGAGAGCAUGGGAGUAUUUUCUAAUAUGAUGAAGUAUUUUCUAGUACAAGAUGAUAAAGAACAGAAUCUUUUUUAUUUUCUCACUUUGGUGCAAUGGGGACACAGAAGAACAGAUUCCUUGCAAAUAACACAAAAGCCAUUUUAAAGAAUUGCUGAGCUGCUUAUUGCAUUAGCUUUGACAUGAAGACCCAUGGUUUCUAUUGCAUGGGUCUCAUGAAGGUACCGUGCAAAUCAAAUUAAUUCAAGUAGCUUUUGUCAUAUUAAGUUAUAGUGCAUUUGCUGUAGGUCCAGGAUGUUGGAACAUCCAAAAGGUUC